rnacentral:rRNA from 1 species
CCUGGCUCAGAUUGAACGCUGGCGGCAGGCCUAACACAUGCAAGUCGAGCGGCAGCGGGAAAGUAGCUUGCUACUUUUGCCGGCGAGCGGCGGACGGGUGAGUAAUGCCUGGGAAAUUGCCCAGUCGAGGGGGAUAACAGUUGGAAACGACUGCUAAUACCGCAUACGCCCUACGGGGGAAAGCAGGGGACCUUCGGGCCUUGCGCGAUUGGAUAUGCCCAGGUGGGAUUAGCUUGUUGGUGAGGUAAUGGCUCACCAAGGCGACGAUCCCUAGCUGGUCUGAGAGGAUGAUCAGCCACACUGGAACUGAGACACGGUCCAGACUCCUACGGGAGGCAGCAGUGGGGAAUAUUGCACAAUGGGGGAAACCCUGAUGCAGCCAUGCCGCGUGUGUGAAGAAGGCCUUCGGGUUGUAAAGCACUUUCAGCGAGGAGGAAAGGUUGAUACCUAAUACGUAUCANCUGUGACGUUACUCGCAGAAGAAGCACCGGCUAAC